rnacentral:lncRNA from 1 species
GGCUAAAGUGAACAGAAUUGAUGUUUCGAGGGCCCUCAAAUAUAUGGCCAUUUCCCUCCAUACCACACCUGAUGAAUUUAUGGCCAUGUGGAAAGUUUUUUUAAAAAUGUUUUAAAGCUUCUGGAAAUUAGAAAGAAACUAAUUACCACCUCUAGUUCUUAAAAGCAAAGAACUACUAAGAGGUGUUACUUGGAAAACAAAAUCAGCAAGAAUGAACCCUCUAGAAGGAAUAGUAAAUUAAGCAUCCAUAGGUACUUUUUUUUUUUUUGUCUUUUUUUUGUUGUUGUUGUUGUUGUUGAUAUAUUGUUGCUAUUUCUUGGGCCGCUCCCGCGGCAUAUGGAGGUUCCCAGGCUAGGGGUUGAAUCGGAGCUGUAGCCACCGGCCUACGCCAGAGCCACAGCCACGCGGGAUCCGAGCCGAGUCUGCAACCUACACCACAGCUCACGGCAACGCCGGAUCGUUAACCCACUGAGCAAGGGCAGGGACCGAACCCGCAACCUCAUGGUUCCUAGUCGGAUUCGUUAACCACUGCGCCACGACAGGAACUCCCCAUAGGUACUUUUUUCUGGGGAUUUCAUCAAUUCUGGGCCCAAAGAGAGUUGAAAUCUAAGUUUGGCUUAGGCAGAAGUCUGCUGCAGGGCACAGAAAAGGCAACAAAGCUUUUGGUGGUCAUUUGCCCUUGGAGUGUAAGAAUUUAGAGACAAGCUUUUAGCGUGUGGUUCAUCAUACUUCAGUAUAUUUUGAAUACAUUGAAAAUAUAGUUUCAGUAAAAUUUUGAAGUACAUAGUGGGUGAGGGAAGCUACAGAUUAACCUUUGUCUUUCCGAGUGGAGAAAGGGAAGGCUUAUAAAACUAUCGUGAUUAAGACUGUGUCAUUAUCAUAAGCAAAGCCAUAUUCAGCAAUGAAACAGAAUAGCGAAUAGUCCAGAAACAGACUUUAUGCAUGGUCACCUGACAUAUGAUCCAUUUUCUUGUUCUACCCAAGAUUCUAAAUUUAUUUGUUAGAUUAAGCUCAAAAAUCAUGGUAUUUAAGAAUCUUAGAUGCUUGGUUUUUUGAUCAAAAGAGUUUCUGAGACAAGUAUAUUAAAAUCACCCUCUCUGAUAAUGAUUUUGGUAAAGUUUUCUUUAUAAUUACAUCAUACUGAGUUUUAUAUAUUUUGGAGGUAAUUUGGGUAGGAAUAUAUUAGUUCGUAAUUGUCCAUUUCUUUAUCCUUCCAUGUUAUGGCCGGGUAGAUUUUCUCAGUGCUAUCUUCCAAGACACUAUUUUUUUCUUUAGAAUAUCCUAUUAUUUUAAAAAUUCUUUUAUUUCAGUUCUAAUUUUCUAAUGGUUUUUAAUGUCUACCUUUAAUCUUUCAAAGCUUCUAAUUCUUCCAUGAUGUUCAUUCCUCCUUUGGCUCUUUGAGAAUUUUAAACAUGCAGUAUUUGUUUGAAAGUCUUUUCCAAAUACCUCAAUCAUCUCUACAUUGUCGGGAGUAAAUAGUCCCAUCUGUUGGUUCUCUUGACUUCCUUUCUUGGCACUGGAAUCCUCAGACACUUUUCUUUGUCUUCCCUCCCUUUCCAUAUCCUAUUGGAUUGAUCAAGCUUUCUUGACUCCGCCUUGUCUUAUGCUCCCUUGGGUUGGAAGUUUUUAUUUUUGAGGUGGUUAAAUUUUUAACAUACAUGAAUAAUUUUAAAAUCCAAGUAGUGUUAUCUCCACAUUCAUAAAGGAUUCAAGUCACUUCAAAAUUACCUUGGAACCCUCACCAACUUUCCUCAUAUCAUAAACAAGUAGAACACUGGAUAAUAGACAUGCGAUAACAGUUUUCAAAAUAGCACUGUGUUCCUUGAGAGAAAGGAAAGAAACACAAUGAGACCAGUGAGCAUCCUGGCUUUCCCCGUGGAGACAUUUUCUAUCCUGAAGCACAGAAGAGAAACCCAAGCAGAACUUGGUGGCUUUGCUCAGUUGGAAGAGACAGAGGUUGAAGUACUGGAAGCUGAUGCAGCUGGAAUUUGAUGGGCAGAGUACAGCAAGAGACAAAACUGCAGAUGGAAAGAGCUGUAUAAUCUGCAUAGGGGUCCUCGUAAAUAUUUCUCUCAAUGCUAAGCUGCAUAGAUAGAGUAGGGUGCCAUGGGGGCAGUCAAAGGACAACUAUUGGAGAUGUGUCAGUUGAAUAAUUCCAAAAGCUCAUAUGGAUUUGGGAGAAUUUUAAGUUUCAACCAGCUAGAGAGAACAGAUAAGAUUGAUAACCCAGUUCCCCAGUAUAUUUUUGUUUCAUUAAUAAUGACUUUUAAUAAAGUAGCAUACACUUAGAACUGUCAUAAUUGCAAGGGUUCCACUGUGUCUCCUUUGUUCUUGUGUACCAUUAAUAAAAUGGUGAGCACUGGUGAAAGGGCCAACUUCAAAUACAUCCAUUCCUCUGAUCUCUGUUGCCAUCUGUAUGCGAUGAGUCCUAAAUCUUGUAUAACUUCUGUCUACAUUCAGCUGUCUAUUGGACAUCUUCACUCAGAAGCAUCUCAAAUGUAUCGAACUCAUUAAAUCAUGCGAGAAUGAGUUAUGGUGACUACAGUGCUGUAAUAUAUAAUUUACUAAUUGUUUUAUAUGUUGAUUUUUUUCUAACUACACUGAAAAUUUUUGAGGUCAUUAUCUGGGUUGUAACCUGGCUUUGUCUCAUCCUGCGUCCCCUUGAGCAAUGUUUGGUUUUCUCACUUACAUACUGAGGAUACAUACUUUUCAGAUGUGUUUGAGAACGAAAAUUUCAGAGAGCUAGGGUAUGUUCAGUGCUUUAAAAAUCUGUAAAGGGUUAUGAAAGUAUAAGGUAUUACUACAUAUCUGCAACCCCAACAGAACUUCCCCCACACUCCUCUUCAGUCCCCACACCCAUGAUGGCACAAGGCACAGAGAGGAUGCUCAAUAAAUGGGUGGAUACCGAUGGACUAUUUAGAACUGGUUUGAUGAGACUGAGGGGACACUAAACCAAGAAUAAGGGGACAUGCCUUUGCUGUCAUCUGUGCCGCUAACUUCCUAUAGAAGCGCAGGCACUCUCCUUACCUCUUUGAACUUUUCUUUCUUUUUUUUUUUAAACUCAGAUACUCUCUAAGAAUCCUUUCUGUCCCCAUGUUAGUCCUGUUUGUCCUGCAUUAUAGAUCCCCAAGUGAGAUCCCUGAGACUCUUCCAACCCUAUGUCCUACUUUUACUGCCCUAAAUAAACAUUCUACUGACCUCAUAUUUUCUACUUUCUCUGCCCUCUCAGGGGAGGCUGCAGAGUGGUAGUGGAUUCUCCAUUGAAAUCUCUGCCACAAAAGGAAAACAAAUGUGUUUUCCCUAUCAUCCCACUGAAUUCUCCGGCAGUGCUCAUCCUGGCCUUUCAGGGUCCAUUCCUCAUAGUGGACACUUGAGGAAGCACAGUCAGUUGGCUAUUUUUUAAGCUAGUCAACAAGUUUCUUGACUUCGAAAGUUGCUUUUCUCUUUCUUCUGUCAACAGGGAGGGGCUGGGACCUGUUUCUCCCCUAGGGAUGGGGUGCUGUCCAUGUCUGCCUUUACAGACUAACCCCUCAAGGCUCAUAUUUGGCUCCAUCCAAGCUUGGCCGUGUCCACCUAGAUGGCCACUGACCAACUUCCUGUCUGACUUCUAUUUGUACUCAAAGAGGAAACGAGGGUCCCACAGGCAAAACCUCUUCCACUUCUGGGGCUGCUUCCAAAAAUAAAGUUACUGUAAUACCCAAAACACCAGGCACAGGAGAGAGCAGUCACAGUUGUUCACUGGCCUUCCACCUCCUGGUGGCCAUCAGCCAGCGAGCUGCAGGGCUGCUGAAGGCUGCGUGAUGAAAUGUGGUCCCCAGGGUCCUCUCUCUGACAUUUUUAGACUCACCAUAAAAUAAACUGCCUCAGGAUGCCACCUCCCUCCAGCCCCUCCUAGGGCCUUCAGAGGGCACUGGUGACAUACAGAUGGCCCUUGAACUUUCCUCUCACAACUGCUGUUUCCUAGCAGUUCUGCUUUGGAACUUUUCCCAUGGGCUUCAAAAGUAUCCUUCUCUGCUCUGUUUUUAAAUUCAAAAGCUAUAAACAUUUUUUUUUUCAUUUACAGGCAAAACACUUUUUUCCGUGGAUAUAAUUUCUCCUCCCUUCUCCUGUAUCUCCAUCAUCUGUCUUUACCACCUCUUUCUUUUUUCUUGCUCUCAAGCAUUACCUACAUUCGGGAUGUGAAACUCUUUAAAGAGGAAUGAAAAGAGGUAGAAAAGUUCAUUGGAAAAAGAAAAAAAGAGCACUGCAUUUAGAUCUUGGCCCCAAGAUGCCAGCCUUCCAAGAAAUCCAGGUUCUUUGCUGCUGAGUGUCAUAGUGACGUUAACCCAAUAGUGUCUGCACCCAAACUCAGGGCCCCACCCCCUUUUAAACCUGACAACAGCUUCCCUGUUAUUCUUCAUGAGCAGACACAGAAUGCUCUUUGGGGAUCUAGACCUAGGAAUUUGAAACACAUACCUUUCUGUUGUUGAUGGCAGGUUGGAGAUGGUGUAGGGUGGCAGGGCUUGGGGUGACACAUGUACAGAGAGAUGAAAAUUGACUAGUGCUUCCUGAAAGAGGGUUGAAUGUACCAGAAUUAGCCAGAAGACUGAGUGGUCUGGUGUGGCUGAAAUGCUGCAAUAAUGGAGAGAAAUGACGAAUUUAUCUUCGUAGGGGAACUUUCUGUACCACAGUAUUCACUACUCAGUUGUUGGAUGGUUUUGUUGCAUUGUGUUGUUCAUUUUAUAAGAAAACUAUAACCAGAAAGUGAGCCCUUUUAGAGAAAGGGUUAGGGCUGCUGUUUCCUUGUAGCCUUCUAAGCUAGACAGAGAAAAUGUGCUUAAACUUUAGCAUAUAACUCUCUAUCCACAUCACAAAGUAUUUUUCUGGUAAAAGUUAAAGAGAGAUUUUCUAGGAGUUCCUGCUGUGGCCCAACAGGAUCGGUGGUAUCUCUGGAGCCCUGGGAUCCAGGUUCAGCCCCUGGCCCAGCAUAGUGGGUUAAGGAUUGGGUG